CGUCAAAUCAUCAUGCCCCUUAUGACCUGGGCUACACACGUGCUACAAUGGAUGGUACAACGGGCAGCGAAGCCGUGAGGUGGAGCGAAUCCCAAAAAGCCAUUCUCAGUUCGGAUUGCAGGCUGCAACUCGCCUGCAUGAAGUCGGAAUCGCUAGUAAUCGCGGAUCAGCAUGCCGCGGUGAAUACGUUCCCGGGCCUU
rnacentral:rRNA from 1 species